AGGACGUGAAGAGACAGAAGAUUAGGACGUUUCCUCUAAAAUGAGUCAACAAGAGAAGAGAGAGGAGGACACUGCCUCUAAAAUAAGCUGUGAUCAACCCACGAAGAGUCAGCCCUCUGCCUCCAGUGAAGCAGAAAUGACCUCUGAACCCAACAUCACAAAGAGGAAGAAACAGAGAUCUCCAGAACCCAGCAGUGUGUCUCUGAAGAGUGACACAU